CUCUGAAAUGUCUUUCCUCAUUUUCCAGGCGGGCGCCUGCAAUCAAAACAACAAAACAAACAAAAUUUUCUGCCCCAGUUUGCUAGGAAGAUUUGUAAGAGAAAUAGUAAACCACUUAUGCUAUUGAUGCAAUGAUGAGAGUAAGCUAAAGACUCGACUAGGAUGUGUGUCUCCUCUGAGUAAAACCAAGAAAUUUUGACUAGCAAGUGCAUCUGCUAAGAAUAGAAAUCUCUUGUGAGUAAAACCCAAAAAUUUUGACUAGCAAGUGCGCCUGCUAAGAAUAGAAGCUGAAUUACCCAAACUAGGAAGUGUGUCUCCUAGGGAUGUAACUUGAAUGAACCAAAACUAGGAAGUGCGUCUCCAAGGGGUAAAACUUGAAUAACUCAAACUAGGAAGUGCGUCUCCUAGGAAUGAACUUACAUGACCCGAACUAGGAAGUNNNNNNNNNNNNNNNNNNNNNNNNNNNNNNNNNNNNNNNNNNNNNNNNNNNNNNNNNNNNNNNGGGGUAAAACUUGAAUAACUCAAACUAGGAAGUGCGUCUCCUAGGGGGAAAACUUGAAUGAACCAAAACUAGGAAGUGUGUUUCCUAGAGAUGAACUUACAUGACCCGAACUAGGAAGUGCGUCUCCUAAGGGUGUAACUUGAAUGAACCUAAACGUGUGAAAUAAGUGAAUUUAUCCAGUUGAGGCAUUCUUGAUUGAUUGAGACAAAACGAUUCCCUCAAUACAGCUUAACUCCGUCAAGCCUGUACGCGAUGUGCAUCUCCUAGGAAUGAACUUACAUGACCCAAACAAGUAAGUGCGUCUCCAAAGGGUAAAAUUUUAAUUUAGGAAGUGCGUCUCCUAAAACGCAAUAUAUCCUACAAGACCAAAACUAGGAAGUGCGUCUCCUAGGAAUAAAACCUCAAUUUAGGAAGUGCAUCUCCUAAAACGAAAAUAUAACCUGACAGAGCCAUACUAAGAAGUGCGUCUCCUAGGGGUGAAAUUUCAAUAACUCAAAUUAGGAAGUGCAUCUCCUAGGAAUAAACUUAAAUGAACCAAAUAGGAAGUGCGUCUCCUAGUGGCAAAAUCUUAAUUUAGGAAGUGCUUCUCCUAAAACAAAUAUAACCUGAAGGACCCAGACUAGAAAGUGCGUCUCCUAGGGGGUAAAAUUUCAACGACUCAAACUAGGAAGUGCGUUUCCUAUGAAUAAACUUAAACGAACCAAACUAGGAAGUGCGUCUCCUAGUGGUAAAAUCUCAACGACUCAAACCAGGAAGUGUUUCUCCUAAAAAUGAAAAUAUAACCUGAAUGACCCAGACUAGGAAGUGUGUCUCCUAGGGGUGAAACUUCAAUGACUAAAACUAGGAAGUGCGUCUCCUAGAAAUGAAUUUGAAUAACCAAAGCUAGGAUGUGCGUCUCCUAAUAAGUAUAAUCUAAAAGCCCCUACUAGGAAGUGCCUCUCCUAACGGUAUAACUUCGUUGACUCCAACUAGGAUGUGCGUCUCCUAAGGAUGAAUUUGAUUAACUAACAUUAGGAAGUGCGUCUCCUAAAAAUAAAAAUAUAGCUUGAAAUAACCAGCCUAGAAAGUGCAUCUCCUAGGAGUAAAAUCUCAAUUUAGGAAGUGCGUCUCCUAAAACAAAAUAUAACUUGAAAUGCCCAGGCUAGGAAGUGUGUCUCCUAGGGGUGAAACUUCAAUGACUCAAACUAGGAAGUGUGUCUCCUUAGAAUAAACUUAAAUGAACCAAAUAGGAAGUGCGUCUCCUAAUGGUAAAAUCUCAAUUUAGGAAGUGCGUCCCCUAAACAAAUAUAACCAGAAAGGCCCAAACUAGGAAGUACUUCUCCUAGGGGUGAUGUGUGAUAUUCUUAAUAGCCUUCGUACAAGAGGAAUUGGGACAUUACACCUGGAAAAUACAAGCUUUGUUAUAAACAUAGCCUUCAUCAUUGUUUCAGACAAAGAAAACUUGUGAGUUUAAAACACGGUGGUUAGUUUGUGGCCUUGACCUUGAAGGCGGUUGCUUCUGCACUUGCUGAGGUAACUUUUAUUUCAACUUGGACGACCUUGAAUGUUGUCGACUACCCACUUUCUUUCAAACCUUAUCACAAGAAAACACCUCCGAUCCAUUCAAUCCCAAUAUCUUUUACCUGUUGCAUUAAGCUUAUGAAUUGACAUUUACUGAAUCUUGCAUUUCACAUGAAUCCCAAAGCAUUUUAAUUGCUAUCAACUUGGUGUGCAUAUUGUUCUUUCCUGACUUAUGCCGCUUUGAUGUGCUUGUCAGACUCGGCUUUGUUCAAUUGGAAAGCUGGUGGUAAAUUUUGAAGUUAUUUCUCACUUGUUUCGAUAAAACAGACUCAAAAGGGAUUCAAACAAGACAAGCGGAACAAAAUAAGGGGAAAAUGAGAAAAGAUGGUAUCAAACAAGCAAAAAUUAUUACCUAGGAAAAAGAACAAAGAAGUAACUAAGCUGUUUGAAGGCCAUCUCCACUGACCCAUGACAUGCAUUUUGGAUUAGACGACCUGAUCUCUCAAGCAAGUCUAAUAUUUAACUCUUGUUGUACCUCUUCGCUGUGAAACUGGGCUUCAGCGCUUCAAUUUUCCCAUCUGAUCCACAAUUCUCAAUCGACUUGUAGUGCCAUGAAGGGCGUUUACCAUCAAGCCUCUCUCAUUUUGUUCUUAUCUCAACUCACCAUCGCGUUACGAUGCCUAGAGGGUUUUCACCGAUAAGACUCUCUCAUUUUAUCAUUUUCUCUCUUUGCAAUGAGAAUAAGGUAUUACCCAUGAUGUAGAAAGAUCAUACUUUUACCACACACUUGAUUUAGCAUCCUCAAAGAUUGGUCAGAAGGUCUUUCUUUGGACCAUAGUGUAGGAUUUUGGACAGGGUUGGAAAGAAAGGGUGACAUAAAGGCUCAAAAUAAUUUAAGAUGAAAGGGUUCAAAAUAACAACUUUUGGAAUCAGGCCUUUCGGCAAAAUUAAAAAUUCUUCCCCAGUUUCUCGGAGUUUGGGGGGAUUAUUUUCUCUCUUUUUAUGGGGUUUCUAAGAAAAUCUGCCCCAGUAUUGAUUUUGGGGAAUUAUGAAAUAUUUUAUAUCGUGUGACCGAACCGUGAGGCUGCCUACGUAUCUUGUGGUGACAAGAAUCAGGUCGAACGUAGUUCAAACGGCAAAGUUGCUUGUUUUUUUUCUUUUCUAUCUUUUUGUUCUUUCUUUUUCUUCUUUUCUCUUUUCUUUUUUUCCUUUUUUCUUUUCUCCUUCUUUUUUUCCCUUUUUCUUCUUUUCUCUUUUCUUUUUUUCCUUUUUUCUUUUCUCCUUUUUUUUUCCCUUUUUCUUCUUUUUCUCUUUUUCCUUUUCUUUUCUUGUUCGUAAUUCCAUUUCUGAUUCCAAAAGAGGGGUAUGAAAUAAAAAAAAAUUAGGGCUCAAAAUGGGUAGCAAAGGAUAAAAGUGUUUGGGUAGCAAAAUAAAAUGCCUUUCGCCAUACCAAACUUAAAAGGUGACAAAAAUGGUGUUCAGAAGGAAAUAAACUCAAAGUCGCCACCUGACAUUGAAUUUCGGUGUGCCAGGCCACCGAUUCUUAAAAAAUAUUUUCCUUUUAAAAUACUUGGACUCAAAACUAAGUCCGCACCAGAGAUUCGGAUAAGGGGGUUCAUUUGACUCGGGGAGAAAGUGUUAGGCACUAGCCAUGUCCCCUGAAGGUCACCGUUGUGUACUCGAUCGAGCUGGCUUUUAAAAUAUUCAAAUUGAGGCAAAAACACGCAAAAAGAGACUAAACAAUCGAAGAGGCUCGAGGUCGUCCCCACCUAAUAAAGGAAAAACAAAAGAAAAAAUAAAGUACUAUUCUAUGCUUCCUCAAGUUACUUCGUCUUUGGCCUUCAUUUACAUUCACUUCGAGGCAUACCCCGGAUAAUUAUAUAUACAAACUUUACGGGGUAUUUCCCGGACAAAUUUAACUACGGAAACGACCUCUCCCAUAAAAUUGACAAAAAUCCUAAAGUUUGCCUACCCAGGUGUGGUUGGCAUAAACAUGCCAUUAGCGAACCCAAGUAAAUCAAGAUAAAACAAUAAGAUUAUUGCCCGAACCCCAUAGUUCAUCUCAAGCCCAACUCCGAUUAUCAACAUCAUCCCUUAUAGCACACACACUAGUGAAUUUAACCCAAUCACUCAAACUUAUGGAAUACAAUAAAGCUACAAAAGUAGCAGAAAUACUAUUAAGCCCAAACCUCUUUCUUGUUUCCAAAUAUGGUCCAUUUUAAUUCAAUUUUUAUAACUAAACCCCAACAACUAUAAAUUAAAUUAACUCUUAUUGCCCGAACCUCUUUCUUGUUUCCAAAUAUUGUCCAUUUUAAUUCAAUUUUUAUUACUAAACCCCAACAACUAUAAAUAAAAUUAACUCUUAUAUUCUUAGCUAAAGAAGUAAUGAUUCAAAGUAUGAUAUCAAUUCUGUUAAGAACACAUUAACGUACAAAUUAUAGUAUAAGCCAUAAUACCAUUUUGUAAAUCAAUCAAUCAGCAACACAGUUUGAGAAUAAAAAUGCAAGAAGGAAGGAAGAGAGUUAGACCUCAAAUUAGCAAAUUGUCGCCUUUGAUAAUUGGACCGAAAGCCGAACGACGUGUACGCUUAAACAAAUUUGAAAAUGAGUAAGGAACGGCUAUCGCACCCUCGAAACAAGAGCAGAACCAAUAAAUCGCACAACACCGGAGGACUCAAACUUAAACACGGCCACUAAAUACUCAAUCGAACUCCAUGUCUCAAGUCAAAAUCCGAAAACCGAAAUGAAGAAAUAGAGAUAUCUUCUUUUUUUUUGCUUUUUAUAUUGUUCUGUUUUGGAACUAAACUGAAACACAAAAAAAACAAUGGAGAAGCUGGAUGUUGGAAUGGAGUUGCAGCUGUUGUUGUUUCAUCGGAGAUGGACGACGUUUGGAGUGAAGUUCAGGUGGUCUGAUAGCUGGUCGAUGAAAUAGCAGCUGGCGGAGUUAUGGAUGGUCUUGCGGUGGCUGCUUUUGUGUCUUAGGGUUCAGGGAUGUUGUGAGGAAAGUAAGGCGCUGGUCGUUUGGUAUUGUUGGCGGCGAUUUGAUGAUGUUGGUCGGAGAUGGUCUUUUGGAGAGGUGUUGGAGAGAGGUCGUUUAUGGUGGUAUGAAGAAGAAAAAGAAGAAGAAGAGAUGAGAGGGAGCAGCGUCGGCUGGUUUCCGCCGUGAAGGGCUAUUUCGUGGCGGCUUCUGGUGUUAGGGUUUUGGUACUGAAGAAAGAGAUGAAGUAGCUCGCGUUUCGCUUAUUUCCUCCAUUGUUGUUUUGGUGUUAGGGUUUAGGUCUUGUAUUGUGUAAUGUGAAGAAGAUGAAGUGUAGGGUUUUUCUUUGAAGAAGAAUGGGUAUGGGCCAAGUCUUGUAGGGCUUGAAAUUGGGCCUCUUGCAAGAAUAUAAU
rnacentral:lncRNA from 1 species